UACGUAGGUGGCAAGAGUUGUCCGGAAUUAUUGGGCGUAAAGCGCGCGCAGGUGGUUCCUUAAGUCUGAUGUGAAAGCCCACGGCUCAACCGUGGAGGGUCAUUGGAAACUGGGGAACUUGAGUGCAGAAGAGGAAAGUGGAAUUCCAAGUGUAGCGGUGAAAUGCGUAGAGAUUUGGAGGAACACCAGUGGCGAAGGCGACUUUCUGGUCUGUAACUGACCAUGAGGCGCGAAAGCGUGGGGAGCAAACAGG
rnacentral:rRNA from 1 species